rnacentral:rRNA from 1 species
UACAGAGGUCUCAAGCGUUGUUCGGAUUCAUUGGGCGUAAAGGGUGUGUAGGUGGCGCCGUAAGUCGGGUGUGAAAUCUCGGAGCUUAACUCCGAAACUGCAUUCGAUACUGCGGUGCUUGAGGACUGGAGAGGAGACUGGAAUUCGAUGGUGUAGCAGUGAAAUGCGUAGAGAUCAUGAGGAAGACCAGUGGCGAAGGCGGGUCUCUGGGCCGAUACUGACGCUGAGGAGCGAAAGCGUGGGGAGCAAACAGG